rnacentral:tRNA from 1 species
GGAGACGUAUCGAAGUGGUCAUAACGAGCUCGACUCGAAAUCGAGUUGUCCUCCGGGGCACGUGGGUUCAAAUCCCACCGUCUCCG